AGAAGAAUUGUUUCUACCCUGCAUUUUCCCCUUGAGACCUCGCCUGGGUUGUUACACAUACCUACAAAAGUCACUUGACUCAUCCUUUGUCCAGCAAGUUUACCUCUCUGCUGCCUCAACCCCCCGUCGGGAAGGUUCAUUCAGGUCUAUCCCAAAGGACACAGAAGAAUUGUUUCUACCCUGCAUUUUCCCCUUGAGACCUCGCCUGGGUUGUUACACAUACCUACAAAAGUCACUUGACUCAUCCUUUGUCCAGCAAGUUUACCUCUCUGCUGCCUCAACCCCCCGUCGGGAAGGUUCAUUCAGGUCUAUCCCAAAGGACACAGAAGAAUUGUUUCUACCCUGCAUUUUCCCCUUGAGACCUCGCCUGGGUUGUUACACAUACCUACAAAAGUCACUUGACUCAUCCUUUGUCCAGCAAGUUUACCUCUCUGCUGC